GCAACAGCUCAAAUUUGAAAUCUGGCCCCCCUUGGGGUCCGAGUUGUAAUUUGGAGAGGAUGUUUCUGGCGCGGCGCCUUCCGGAGUUCCUUGGAACAGGACGCCACAGAGGGUGAGAGCCCCGUACGGUCGGCCGCCUAGCCUCCACGAAACUCCUUCGACGAGUCGAGUAGUUUGGGAAUGCUGCUCAAAAUGGGAGGUAAAUUUCUUCUAAAGCUAAAUACUGGCCAGAGACCGAUAGCGCACAA
rnacentral:rRNA from 1 species